GGGUCAGUAGGUUGGUCGUGCCACCGGUACGUACUGGUCUCACUGAUUCCUCCUUCCUGAAGAACCGUAGUGCCAUUAAUUUGGUGUUGCGGGGAAACAGGACUGUUACUUUGAAAAAAUUAGAGUGUUUAAAGCAAGCUAACGCUUGAAUACAUUAGCAUGGAAUAAUGAAAUAGGACGAUCGAUCCUAUUUUGUUGGUUUCUAGGAUUGACGCA
rnacentral:rRNA from 1 species